rnacentral:rRNA from 1 species
GUAAUCCUACGGGAGGCAGCAGUGGGGAAUAUUGCACAAUGGGGGAAACCCUGAUGCAGCGACGCCGCGUGAAGGAAGAAGUAUUUCGGUAUGUAAACUCCUAUCAGCAGGGAAGAAAAUGACGGUACCUGACUAAGAAGCCCCGGCUAACUACGUGCCAGCAGCCGCGGUAAUACGUAGGGGGCAAGCGUUAUCCGGAUUUACUGGGUGUAAAGGGAGCGUAGACGGCAUGGCAAGUCUGAAGUGAAAGCCCGGGGCUCAACCGCGGGACUGCUUUGGAAACUGUUAAGCUGGAGUGCAGGAGG